CCUACGGGUAGCUGCAGUAGGGAAUAUUGCUCAAUGGGGGAAACCCUGAAGCAGCAACGCCGCGUGGAGGAUGAAGGCUUUCGGAUUGUAAACUCCUUUUGUUAGAGAAGAUAAUGACGGUAUCUAACGAAUCAGCACCGGCCAACUCCGUGCCAGCAGCCGCGGUCAUACGGAGGGUGCAAGCGUUACUCGGAAUCACUGGGCGUAAAGAGCGCGUAGGCGGGAAAGCAAGUAGGAUGUGAAAUCCUAUGGCUUAACCAUGGAACUGCGUUUGAAACUGUGGGUCUAGAGUAUGGGAGAGGUAGGUAGAAUUCUAGGUGUAGGGGUGAAAUGCGUAGAGAUCAAGAGGAAUACUCAUUGCGAAGGCGGCCUGCUGGAACAUAACUGACGCUGAUGCGCGAAAGCGUGGGGAGCAAACAGGAUUAGAUACCCCAGUAGUC
rnacentral:rRNA from 1 species